GUGUCCAAUGACAAUGGUGCCUCCUACUUUGAAGGCGGGGCGUGAGGGGUGGCAGCGUGAGGUGGGGGCUGUGCGCGCAGGGAGGAGCGUAAAAGUUGACAGCCUUGAGCAUGUGACACCUUCUGCCAUGAGAUGAUGCUACAAGAAGAACCUCACCGACUGCUGGCACCUUGAUACUGGACUUCACAGCCUCCAGAAUUGUGAGCCAGGAAAAAUGUAUGACUCUAAAUUUGGAAACCAGACAGGAUCUGCUAAUACGGGGCAGAAUGUUAAAAAGAGGAUGAAUUUUGAUUUCAGAAAAUUUAGAAGAAAAUGGAUUUCUCAGGCAACUGAAAGAACAUAUUUGGAUCUGUUAAGAUGAAAGGAGACUUCAAGAGAACUGGACUUUGUGUUGGACAGGCUGUCUGUGACAGGGAAAAAACCCCUUCUGAAUGAUUAGGGAUGAAUCAGUUAACUUGCUUGAGUUUCACAUUCUUCAUCUGUAAAAUCUGGUGAUUAGACUGGCCCAGCAAAAGAUAUAAUGGGCAAAAGAUAUAAUACACAUAAAUUGGAAUGAAUCUGCAUUUUCCAAGCCUGAUGACUUUAUUAAAACUGAAUUAAGUCACUAACUGGCAGCCUGAAGAUGAAAGGAAAGAACUCAGUCAUGCUUCUUAAGGUAAAAGGGCAGUCUAACUGAGAAUUUUGUUAUCUCUGAGGACAAAUUACAAGGAGAUAAAGACACUCAAGAUCACAUGGAAGGCUUCUGCUCCCACUUAGAGACUGCAAUGUAAGGUAUGGAAACAGAAUAUUCUCUAUAGAAACAUACAUAUUAAAAUAUGAACAUUUUUGUUCUUAUUUCAAUCCAAAAAUAAAUAAAUGAAUUAAAUGUCAAAGAUAUCCAUUCUAAUUUGGAACUUCUCUGUUCAUAACCUAUUAUGCAGUGGGCGCUAAAAAUCUGUUCAUGGUAUAUGACUGAAUAUUGUCUAUGAAAUGUGUAGGUGUUAAACAAAUGCCACGGUUUAUUUAUUAUAAGAAACUUUUUUACAUUUUAACAUCUCUGAAAUGUGGAUAACACUUUAUUUUAUUUUACUUUAUUUAUUUUCGAGAUGGAGUUUCGCUCUUGUUGCCCAGGC
rnacentral:lncRNA from 10 species